GUUAAGCGACUAAGCGUACACGGUGGAUGCCCUGGCAGUCAGAGGCGAUGAAGGACGUGCUAAUCUGCGAUAAGCGUCGGUAAGGUGAUAUGAACCGUUAUAACCGGCGAUUUCCGAAUGGGGAAACCCAGUGUGUUUCGACACACUAUCAUUAACUGAAUCCAUAGGUUAAUGAGGCGAACCGGGGGAACUGAAACAUCUAAGUACCCCGAGGAAAAGAAAUCAACCGAGAUUCCCCCAGUAGCGGCGAGCGAACGGGGAGCAGCCCAGAGCCUGAAUCAGUGUGUGUGUUAGUGGAAGCGUCUGGAAAGGCGCGCGAUACAGGGUGACAGCCCCGUACACAAAAAUGCACAUGCUGUGAGCUCGAUGAGUAGGGCGGGACACGUGGUAUCCUGUCUGAAUAUGGGGGGACCAUCCUCCAAGGCUAAAUACUCCUGACUGACCGAUAGUGAACCAGUACCGUGAGGGAAAGGCGAAAAGAACCCCGGCGAGGGGAGUGAAAAAGAACCUGAAACCGUGUACGUACAAGCAGUGGGAGCACGCUUAGGCGUGUGACUGCGUACCUUUUGUAUAAUGGGUCAGCGACUUAUAUUCUGUAGCAAGGUUAACCGAAUAGGGGAGCCGAAGGGAAACCGAGUCUUAACUGGGCGUUAAGUUGCAGGGUAUAGACCCGAAACCCGGUGAUCUAGCCAUGGGCAGGUUGAAGGUUGGGUAACACUAACUGGAGGACCGAACCGACUAAUGUUGAAAAAUUAGCGGAUGACUUGUGGCUGGGGGUGAAAGGCCAAUCAAACCGGGAGAUAGCUGGUUCUCCCCGAAAGCUAUUUAGGUAGCGCCUCGUGAAUUCAUCUCCGGGGGUAGAGCACUGUUUCGGCAAGGGGGUCAUCCCGACUUACCAACCCGAUGCAAACUGCGAAUACCGGAGAAUGUUAUCACGGGAGACACACGGCGGGUGCUAACGUCCGUCGUGAAGAGGGAAACAACCCAGACCGCCAGCUAAGGUCCCAAAGUCAUGGUUAAGUGGGAAACGAUGUGGGAAGGCCCAGACAGCCAGGAUGUUGGCUUAGAAGCAGCCAUCAUUUAAAGAAAGCGUAAUAGCUCACUGGUCGAGUCGGCCUGCGCGGAAGAUGUAACGGGGCUAAACCAUGCACCGAAGCUGCGGCAGCGACGCUGAUGCGUUGUUGGGUAGGGGAGCGUUCUGUAAGCCUGCGAAGGUGUGCUGUGAGGCAUGCUGGAGGUAUCAGAAGUGCGAAUGCUGACAUAAGUAACGAUAAAGCGGGUGAAAAGCCCGCUCGCCGGAAGACCAAGGGUUCCUGUCCAACGUUAAUCGGGGCAGGGUGAGUCGACCCCUAAGGCGAGGCCGAAAGGCGUAGUCGAUGGGAAACAGGUUAAUAUUCCUGUACUUGGUGUUACUGCGAAGGGGGGACGGAGAAGGCUAUGUUGGCCGGGCGACGGUUGUCCCGGUUUAAGCGUGUAGGCUGGUUUUCCAGGCAAAUCCGGAAAAUCAAGGCUGAGGCGUGAUGACGAGGCACUACGGUGCUGAAGCAACAAAUGCCCUGCUUCCAGGAAAAGCCUCUAAGCAUCAGGUAACAUCAAAUCGUACCCCAAACCGACACAGGUGGUCAGGUAGAGAAUACCAAGGCGCUUGAGAGAACUCGGGUGAAGGAACUAGGCAAAAUGGUGCCGUAACUUCGGGAGAAGGCACGCUGAUAUGUAGGUGAAGUCCCUUGCGGAUGGAGCUGAAAUCAGUCGAAGAUACCAGCUGGCUGCAACUGUUUAUUAAAAACACAGCACUGUGCAAACACGAAAGUGGACGUAUACGGUGUGACGCCUGCCCGGUGCCGGAAGGUUAAUUGAUGGGGUCAGCGCAAGCGAAGCUCUUGAUCGAAGCCCCGGUAAACGGCGGCCGUAACUAUAACGGUCCUAAGGUAGCGAAAUUCCUUGUCGGGUAAGUUCCGACCUGCACGAAUGGCGUAAUGAUGGCCAGGCUGUCUCCACCCGAGACUCAGUGAAAUUGAACUCGCUGUGAAGAUGCAGUGUACCCGCGGCAAGACGGAAAGACCCCGUGAACCUUUACUAUAGCUUGACACUGAACAUUGAGCCUUGAUGUGUAGGAUAGGUGGGAGGCUUGGAAGUGUGGACGCCAGUCUGCAUGGAGCCGACCUUGAAAUACCACCCUUUAAUGUUUGAUGUUCUAACGUUGACCCGUAAUCCGGGUUGCGGACAGUGUCUGGUGGGUAGUUUGACUGGGGCGGUCUCCUCCUAAAGAGUAACGGAGGAGCACGAAGGUUGGCUAAUCCUGGUCGGACAUCAGGAGGUUAGUGCAAUGGCAUAAGCCAGCUUGACUGCGAGCGUGACGGCGCGAGCAGGUGCGAAAGCAGGUCAUAGUGAUCCGGUGGUUCUGAAUGGAAGGGCCAUCGCUCAACGGAUAAAAGGUACUCCGGGGAUAACAGGCUGAUACCGCCCAAGAGUUCAUAUCGACGGCGGUGUUUGGCACCUCGAUGUCGGCUCAUCACAUCCUGGGGCUGAAGUAGGUCCCAAGGGUAUGGCUGUUCGCCAUUUAAAGUGGUACGCGAGCUGGGUUUAGAACGUCGUGAGACAGUUCGGUCCCUAUCUGCCGUGGGCGCUGGAGAACUGAGGGGGGCUGCUCCUAGUACGAGAGGACCGGAGUGGACGCAUCACUGGUGUUCGGGUUGUCAUGCCAAUGGCACUGCCCGGUAGCUAAAUGCGGAAGAGAUAAGUGCUGAAAGCAUCUAAGCACGAAACUUGCCCCGAGAUGAGUUCUCCCUGACCCUUUAAGGGUCCUGAAGGAACGUUGAAGACGACGACGUUGAUAGGCCGGGUGUGUAAGCGCAGCGAUGCGUUGAGCUAACCGGUACUAAUGAACCGUGAGGCUUAACCUUACAACGCCGAAGGUGUUU
rnacentral:rRNA from 1 species